rnacentral:rRNA from 1 species
UACGAAGGGUGCAAGCGUUACUCGGAAUUACUGGGCGUAAAGGGCGCGUAGGCGGUCUACUAAGUUGGAUGUGAAAACUCUGGGCUUAACCCAGAGCCUGCAUUCAAAACUGAUAGGCUGGAGUUCUGGAGGGGAUAGCGGAAUUCCUGGUGUAGCGGUGAAAUGCGUAGAUAUCAGGAGGAACACCAGCGGCGAAGGCGCUGCUCUGGGCCGGUACUGACGCUGAGGAGCGAAAGCGUGGGGAGCGAACAGG